rnacentral:rRNA from 1 species
GACGAACGCUGGCGGCGUGCUUAACACAUGCAAGUCGAACGGGAGUAUUGAAGAAGCUUGCUUUAGAGAUACUUUAGUGGCGGACGGGUGAGUAACGCGUGAGGAGCUGUCCUAUGCAGGGGGACAACAGCUGGAAACGGCUGCUAAUACCCCAUAAGCCGAGAGGUAAAAGGAUUUAUCCGGCAAAGGAGGCACUCGCGUCCUAUCAGCUAGUAGGUUGGGUAACGGCCGACCUAGGCGAAGACGGGUAGCCGGCCUGAGAGGGCGAACGGCCACACUGGAACUGAGAUACGGUCCAGACUCCUACGGGAGGCAGCAGUGGGGAAUAUUGGGCAAUGGGGGGAACCCUGACCCAGCGACGCCGCGUGGGUGAAGAAAUCCUUCGGGAUGUAAAGCCCUGUUGUAUGGGAAGAGCGGAAGACGGUACCAUACGAGGAAGCCCCGGCAAACUACGUG